rnacentral:tRNA from 1 species
GGUGGUGUAGCCCAGUGGAAGAGCAUUUGCUUAGCAAGUUCAAGGCUCUGGGUUUGAUCCCCAGCACCACAA